CCUUCCAUGCUCCAUACUCUGAACUUUAUACGUUCCUCCGCCUUACCUUUCCUGUUCUUCUCCUUCUCCUCUCUCUUUUUUUUUUGAACUCCAUAUUCUGCCGGAUUUCUAAAAAUCGAAUUGGAAUUUCGUUAAUUUUCAUCAAUUAUUCCCUCCAAAAAAUCCCGCAGUAUUUGGGAUUUUGAUAAUUAGGGUUUUCUUUUCUUUUCCCCUAAUAUCGAUAUUCCUAGAGGCGAAUAAUUGUUGAAAUUUUACUGACUUCCAUCUUGAUUCCUUCAUGGACUUCGGAACUGAGGUGCGAACGAAUGGAACUCGUGUGCAAGAAUUCAGGUUUGGGAAGCAAGUUGACUUUGGUUGACCUUGUGGUUGGUUGCGGCUAUGGAUGAGGAUGAGGAGCGUGGUGAAAUGCAAGCAAUUGAGUAGUUGCUGUUGUAUUGUGUUACACACUGAUUAUGUUUGUUGCAGCUAUUGAUUUGUUGGUUACGUUGUUGUUGUCUUGAUGUUAUGGUGUUGCUGUGUUGUUGUUAUCUUGCUGCCAUUACGAGCGUUACAACUGGUUGUUGUGUUGCUGCUGUUUUUCUUUUUUGUUGACUUGGUUUGACUUUAUAGUAAUUUUUAUUUAUGCACCAAUCUAGUGAAAUUUAACCAUGCAAGUAUGCAA